rnacentral:lncRNA from 1 species
GCGAUGCCGCGUUUAAGGUACCGGGACUUACAGUUCCGAGACAGGGACUGCUCAGGCGCGUUCCGGGACCCGGCGGAGGAAGGGAAGGCCUGGCUGUCCAGCGGAAUCCGCCUGGACGCACGGAACUCGCGGACCCGACCGGAGCAGCUCUUCGGGCCCUGGCGUGAACCCUUCUCCCAGAGGCACAUGCCCAGAACCCAGCAAUGGCCAAUGGGACCUUGAUGGCCGAGGGCCAGUUAGCUUUUCUAAACCCUACCUGGAUAAGGAUAAGAAAUAGAAGGAGGGGACACUUUAGGAUGCUACAAAAUAAAAUACAACAACAACAACAAUAACAGCAGCAGCAACAACAACAACAGCAA